rnacentral:rRNA from 1 species
CCUACGGGCGGCAGCAGUCGAGAAUCAUUCACAAUGGGGGAAACCCUGAUGGUGCGACGCCGCGUGGGGGAAUGAAGGUCUUCGGAUUGUAAACCCCUGUCAUGUGGGAGCAAAUUAAAAAGAUAGUACCACAAGAGGAAGAGACGGCUAACUCUGUGCCAGCAGCCGCGGUAAUACAGAGGUCUCAAGCGUUGUUCGGAAUCACUGGGCGUAAAGCGUGCGUAGGCUGUUUCGUAAGUCGUGUGUGAAAGGCGCGGGCUCAACCCGCGGACGGCACAUGAUACUGCGAGACUAGAGUAAUGGAGGGGGAACCGGAAUUCUCGGUGUAGCAGUGAAAUGCGGAGAUAUCGAGAGGAACACUCGUGGCGAAGGCGGGUUCCUGGACAGUAACUGACGCUGAGGCACGAAGGCCAGGGGAGCGAAAGGGAGUAGAUACCCUUGUAGUC